rnacentral:rRNA from 1 species
CCUACGGGUGGCAUCAGUGAGGAAUAUUGGUCAAUGGACGCAAGUCUGAACCAGCCAUGCCGCGUGCAGGAAGACUGCUCUAUGAGUUGUAAACUGCUUUUGUACGAGGGUAAACGCAGAUACGCGUACCUGUCUGAAAGUAUUGUAUGAAUAAGGAUCGGCUAACUCCGUGCCAGCAGCCGCGGUAAUACGGAGGAUGCAAGCGUUAUCCGGAUUUAUUGGGUUUAAAGGGUGCGUAGGUGGUCGGAUAAGUUAGUGGUGAAAUCCCGCGGCUCAACUUCGGAAUUGCAUUUGAUACUGUUCGGCUAGAGAGUAGUUGCGGUAGGCGGAAUGUAUGGUGUAGCGGUGAAAUGCUUAGAGAUCAUACAGAACCCCGAUUGCGAAGGCAGCUUACCAAGCUACUACUGACGUUGAGGCACGAAAGCGUGGGGAGCAAACAGGAUUAGAUACCCCGGUAGUC